rnacentral:lncRNA from 1 species
AAUUUAUUUGGUUGAUUUAAAGGAAAUGACAUGUCAACCAGCACAAACUGCUAUGUUUAAGGAUUUGUUGAGAGCUAUGCAAAAUCUUGGUAGGUAGCAAGCACAAGCGCCUUCUCAGAAUGUACAGACUAACUCCAACACCACAAGCUUGGUCGUGGAACAAUUUCAUCGUUAUUAGCCCUCUACUUUUAACAGGAUGGCUGGUCCUUUGGUAGUCGAGGAAUGGAUAAGGGAUUUGUAAUGGAUCUUCAAGCAUCUCGGCUAUAUUGAUGCCCAAAAGGUUUUAUGUGCGGAGUUCAUGCUAGUUGAUGUAGCGAGCAAUUGAUGGGAGUCCGUUUCCAGCACUAGGACUAAGGCACAACAAAGCAACCUUACUUGGGCAUGUUUCAAAGAUGAGGCGAUGGGAAAAUAUUUUCUACAAGCUUUGAGAGAUCGUAAGGAAAUGAAAUUUCCGCAACUUAAGCAAGGAAGGAUGGCAUUGAAUCAAUUCAAGAAAACACUGAAAAGGGCAAUCAGCGAUUUUAGCCAUUUUUAUGGGAAAACAUGUAGAAUACAAAAAAAAUAUUAUGGAUUAUUUUGAGUAGAACACAGAUAUAGUCACGACAAGAGAGAAAGAAUUUGGAGACGUGAAUUUCUUAUAUUCUGCCAGCUAUUAUUUCAUCAAUCAAUGUAGGAUACUAUGUGCAAGUUGAUCCGUCCUCGCAAUAUUAUAAUUUUUUUUUACACAAUUUAUUUCAUGAAAUGAUAAUUGACCUGUGGGUCUUAAAGAAAUGAAAUGUGAGAUCUCCUUC